rnacentral:rRNA from 1 species
AGAGUUUGAUCCUGGCUCAGGAUGAACGCUGGCGGCGUGCCUAACACAUGCAAGUCGAGCGAUUCUCUUCGGAGAAGAGCGGCGGACGGGUGAGUAACGCGUGGGUAACCUGCCCUGUACACACGGAUAACAUACCGAAAGGUAUGCUAAUACGAGAUAAUAUGCUUUUAUCGCAUGGUAGAAGUAUCAAAGCUCCGGCGGUACAGGAUGGACCCGCGUCUGAUUAGCUAGUUGGUAAGGUAACGGCUUACCAAGGCGACGAUCAGUAGCCGACCUGAGAGGGUGAUCGGCCACAUUGGAACUGAGACACGGUCCAAACUCCUACGGGAGGCAGCAGUGGGGAAUAUUGCACAAUGGGCGAAAGCCUGAUGCAGCAACGCCGCGUGAGCGAUGAAGGCCUUCGGGUCGUAAAGCUCUGUCCUCAAGGAAGAUAAUGACGGUACUUGAGGAGGAAGCCCCGGCUAACUACGUGCCAGCAGCCGCGGUAAUACGUAGGGGGCUAGCGUUAUCCGGAAUUACUGGGCGUAAAGGGUGCGUAGGUGGUUUCUUAAGUCAGAGGUGAAAGGCUACGGCUCAACCGUAGUAAGCCUUUGAAACUGGGAAACUUGAGUGCAGGAGAGGAGAGUGGAAUUCCUAGUGUAGCGGUGAAAUGCGUAGAUAUUAGGAGGAACACCAGUUGCGAAGGCGGCUCUCUGGACUGUAACUGACACUGAGGCACGAAAGCGUGGGGAGCAAACAGGAUUAGAUACCCUGGUAGUCCACGCCGUAA